GCAACAUGAUGGCUCAGUCACUAGAGCACACGGCUCUCAACCUCAGGGCUGUGGGUUCAAGCCCCACGUUGGGCA